GUAAGGGCUCGGUCGGGACGGAUACCCGGCACCAUCCCGGCCGUCGAGGGGCUCCGGUUCGCAAGGACCGGGGCCUCUCUCUUUUU
rnacentral:sRNA from 1 species